rnacentral:rRNA from 1 species
CCUACGGGUGGCUGCAGUGGGGAAUUUUGGACAAUGGGGGCAACCCUGAUCCAGCCAUUCCGCGUGAGUGAAGAAGGCCUUCGGGUUGUAAAGCUCUUUCAGCUGGAGUGAAACGGUGCGCUCUAACAUAGCGCGCUAAUGACGGUACCAGCAGAAGAAGCACCGGCUAACUACGUGCCAGCAGCCGCGGUAAUACGUAGGGUGCGAGCGGUGAUCGGCGUUAGUGGGCGUAAAGCUAAGCAAGAUGGGAAAGCCCCGGGCUUAACCUGGGAAUGGCAUUUUGAACUGGCAGUCUAGAGUGCGUCAGAGGGGGGUGGAAUUCCACGUGUAGCAGUGAAAUGCGUAGAGAUGUGGAGGAACACCGAUGGCGAAGGCAGCCCCCUGGGAUGACACUGACGCUCAUGUACGAAAGCGUGGGUAGCAAACAGGAUUAGAUACCCUGGUAGUC